UGUUCUGUAGCUUAGCUGGUUAAAGCGCCGGACUAGCGAUAACGGAGUCGUGGGUUCGAAUCCCACCAAAACAA
rfam:Aedes albopictus isolate Foshan contig60890, whole genome shotgun sequence.